rnacentral:rRNA from 1 species
CCACCUGAUCCCAUGCCGAACUCAGCAGUGAAACGCCGUAGCGCCGAUGGUAGUGUGGGGUCUCCCCAUGUGAGAGUAGGACACUGCCA